rnacentral:rRNA from 1 species
GAUGAACGCUGGCGGCGUGCCUAAUACAUGCAAGUCGAGCGAACAGACGAGGAGCUUGCUCCUCUGACGUUAGCGGCGGACGGGUGAGUAACACGUGGAUAACCUACCUAUAAGACUGGGAUAACUUCGGGAAACCGGAGCUAAUACCGGAUAAUAUAUUGAACCGCAUGGUUCAAUAGUGAAAGACGGUUUUGCUGUCACUUAUAGAUGGAUCCGCGCCGCAUUAGCUAGUUGGUAAGGUAACGGCUUACCAAGGCGACGAUGCGUAGCCGACCUGAGAGGGGGAUCGGCCACACUGGAACUGAGAAACGGGCCAGACUCCUACGGGAGGCAGCAGUAGGGAACCUUCCGCAAUGGGCGAAAGCCUGACGGAGCAACGCCGCGUGAGUGAUGAAGGUCUUCGGAUCGUAAAACUCUGUUAUUAGGGAAGAACAAAUGUGUAAGUAACUAUGCACGUCUGGACGGUACCUAAUCAGAAAGCCACGGCUAACUACGU